UUUAGCCCCUACCAUGAAAAGAGAAGAAGAAUGUGCAGAAAAAUCAAUAUGCAUUACAAAGUUUUUCCAAAGUUCUGCAUCUAAGUUUUGGGUGUCUGCUUUGUGAGUAUGACAGACUGCUUUGAGAUUGGAUCAGCUGUAAGAGAAAAGUGAGUAAUUUUCUACUAACUUAGUCUAAAAGCAAAAUAUCUGUUUUGAGAUCAGUACAUCUGUUUAGAACAAGUGCUUUGCUAAGAAGCGUAGUUAAUGGUUAUACAGGCCCUUAUUUUUGUUAAACUGGACCUCACAUGAGAUGUAAGUAGUUCUGUUUUUGGGGAGAUUAGUUAGGCCAAACUCCUGUUUUUUAUUUUUUUAUUUAUUUAUUUUUUAUACUACCUUCAGCUGGCGUGUCUGGAACUCUGUAAACGUUAGAUGCUUCUUUUAUCUUGCAUGUAGGGAGCAUAUUAAUAAGUUGGGAAAUGUUUUACUUUACUUUUGCAGAGGCGAUUUGGGCAGGUAUACGAGUGGAUGGGAGUCCAGGAAGAGCAGGGGAUUGUGUGCUGAGAAAACACUGCGUGUAUCCACUUUCCUUGAAGAUUUUUAGUGUUUCUUUCCAGCCUAUCCCAGGGAAAGUCAAAAGGAAAGACCCAGAGAAAAGUACACCAUCUAUUAAGAAUUCUUUGCAGACCAGUUCAGCUAAGAUGCGGGUGCAACAUUGAGUAAGAUGCACUUCUUUUGAGAUUAGUACAGCUAUGGAACAAAAGAGAAUUGGGAAGAGAUCAGUGUGGAGGAUGGUUUCUACAGUAGAGAUGUGCAUAACAUAUUUUUAUUCUGUGGAUUAAAAGUAGAAACUUUUUGAACUUCGCGUUCCUGACCUAUGGUUUACUUUGAAAUUUUACUUUGUUCCAGAGUGGUGUGGUUUUGGCGCUUUUUUUUUUUUUUUUGUUUUGUUUGUUUUUUUUUUUUUUUUUUUCAUGGAAGGGGAAGGAAAAAAAUUUUUUUUGUUUUUUUUUUACAUGGAAGGGCAAGGAAGUUCAAGUUUUUUAACUCUUACCCAAGGAGGUAUAUUAACGGAUACAUCUAAUGGUUCCAUUGUUCUUAAGCAAGAAGGAAGAAUGAAGGGCUGUACUGCAUCAGCGUUUCCCCCUGCUACCAACAAAGGGGGAACUUUUCAGAGAUUUGAUGAGGCACUUAAUGGUUGGUUGGUGCCUCCAUCAAAUCCGUUUGAUGGAUUACACUCUAAGAAAUUUUCAGCAUUUCCUACUGUUAACUAUAGUUAAAUGUUUGGGCAGUUAGAAAAAGAGCUGCUUAAAUUAAAAAGGUUGCAGUGGGACAAUGCUUAUUUUGACUGUUGUUUAAAAUCACAACGAGUGCCGAAGGGCUUGAGAGUGUCAGUAAUGCCAGCUGGGUCUAAUUAUCACCGAGUUUCUAAACAAAUGGGUGGAACUAAAUCAAUGAACUGGCUUACAAUAUGUUGAACUGUUGCUUGUGUUUAAAAACAGAAAAUGGAAGAUUUAAACCAUAACAUCCGAGUAUCCUUUUUUAAACUGAAAGAUUCACUGACUUCUGAUAAUUUUGAGUCAAAGCUGGGUUUGACUCAAGAUAAACUGAAUAAAUAGAAUGAGGUGUUAAAGAAACGUAAAACUGGUAAAUAUUUGCGAGAUAAAGCAUAUUAUGAAGUUGUGAAUGAAAAAAGACCAGCUGAAGUUCAAGGCGGAGCUAGUAUGUCAGCAACAAAUGAGAGAACUGAAACAGAGGCUGUAUCAGUGGGAGAAAAUGGCCCAAGAAAUGCUAGUACCUCUAAUGAAGAAACAACUGUGACUAUUAAUACCAAAGAAAAAGAUAAUAGUUUGUUGGAAAAAGCUAAGCAGGAUUUUCAAAGCAACAAAAUCAGUCAGUUGGUGAGGGUUUAUCAACGCAAUGGGAAAGACAGCAGAUCUUGGGCAGAAAUAGCAGCAGUUCCUCACAAGAAUUUGCAGAGGAACAACAAAAGACAAUACAACAAGCGCUGAGUCUGCAAGGUACUGUUGAUUCUGCUUUGUUAUAGUUAAUUUAUCUGACAUCACUUUAAAUGAAAAAUUGUGUGUGUUGCAAAAAGGUUGGAACUUUGUACCUGCUAAAAGAGCUGAUAAGUGCAAUACCAUUAAUGCACUCGGGGACUAUGUGAGGAAAUUAAACUUUAAAUGUUUAUUUCCUAACAAGGUUCAGGAACCUUUAUGUUUUGUUAAGCCUAGUACAUAUAACCCGCCUUUGAAAAAAAGAACUUGAAUUGUUCCAAAUGUUAUGUGAGCAGCAAAUUAUAGAAAUGUUUAAUAAUAAACCUUCUUAUAAAUAUUUUAAUAUGAAUCCUGUACAAAAAGAAAUGUUAGAUAAUUUGUUGAACAUUGAAGCUUGUUUUAGUAACGAAAGCUGAUAAGGGUAAUGCUUUAGUAGUUUUAGAUAGGAAUGUAUAUGUGCAAACUAUGAAUGAAAUGUUGUCAGACCAAGCAUUUUAUAGUAAGUUGUUGUUCAAAGAAAUUAAAAAACAGUAUUUGUUCAUAGAUGGACAAAUUGAAGAAUGGUUUUUGACAUGGCAAAUUGCGAAGCAAAUUAGGGAUUUUUUGGUGGUUCCAGCUCCAAAAAUUAGUUGUAUAUUUGGGCAGCCAGAAAUCCACAAAAAUUUAUAUAAGCCACCUAUGCGCCCAAUAGUAAGUAGUAGUGGAAGUAAAACAGAAGCAUGUGCCAUCUAUGGAGAUAAACACUUACAACAAAUAGUGGUAGACAAUGAUGUGAUGCAUGUAUAAAAGACUCCUUUGAUUUUAAAAAUAAGGGAGCUAGAAAUAGACGAAAAUGAUUAUCUUGUUAUACUUGACAUUAAGUCCUUAUAUGAAAUAGUUAGGUUUGAACUAAUUAAAGCUAGAAAGCUUUCACAUGAUACAGUGGGGCUUAUAAUGGAAAUGUUAAAUUUACGUUUAAGCUAUAAUUUCUUCGAAUUUAAUAGUGAGCUAUAUAAACAAACGAAUGGUGUAGCUAUGGGGGCAGCAAUGGCCCUGAGCUGUGCAAAUAUUUUUAUGCAGGGAUGGGAGAGAGUUCAUAUUUAUGAAAGUAUAUAUAAGUGUAAUUUUAUAUUCUCUAAACGUUUUAUUGAUGAUGUUUUUCUUCUUUUGAGAGGGGAUGGUAUUGAUCUAUUUCUGAAGUAUUUAAAUGAGGUAUGUUCUUAUUUAAAAUUUACAUCAGCCUGUGACAAAUUGAGUAUCAACUAUUUGGAUUUAAAUAUUUAUAAGGAAGAUAGGGGUCUCUGCACCUCUAUAUAUAAAAAAGUUUCAAAAUAAUGCAUAUCUGCAUUACGUUAGUUUACAUCCAAACAAAACUAAAAAUAAUAUAGUUAAGAGUCAAAUGAAAAUGGUAGAUAGGUUAACUGACAAGAAAAGUGAUUUUGUCAGAGAAAGUGAGGCUUUAUGUGCUAAUUUUGUGAGUAGAGGGUAUCCUAAGAAAGUAGUAGCAAAAGCUCUAGAAGAAAGUCAAUGUAAUAGACACAAGCUAAGAGUGUCUGAAAAUGUUAAUAAAAAACAAAGUGAUUUUGUGACGUCAAUGCAGAUAGAAAACAGCAUAGAUACUGUUUCCAUUAAAAUAUUGUUAUUAAUAACUGGAAAUUAUUUAAUUCUGAUGCAGAGAUGAUGAAAGUUGAGGGAGAUAGACCAUUAUUUGUACAGAAAAAGGGAGGAAGUUUUAAAAAUUUAUUUCAAGCUAGAGUAAUCCCUCCAACCCCCCCCCCCCCUCCAUUUCUCUACCCACACAGAAUAGGGUUAUUAAUACAGGAAUGUGUAAGUGUUUAAAUUGUAAUAUGUGUAACUUCUUGAUGACAGAUGUCAAACAACUAACAGUGGGAGGGCAUGUGAUAACAUUACAAGGAAAAUGUAGCUGCAAAUCUAGAUUUAUUGUUUAUUUAGGCAUAUGUAUGUCAUGCAAUUCAUUUUAUGUGGGGCAGACAACUAGAGAAUUAAAUAGACGCAUUUAUGAGCAUAAAUAUGCAAUACCUGUGAAAGAUGAAAAAAUGCUUUUGGUAAACAUUAUAAAAAUAAUGCACGUUGUCAAGUGAAUUUCAAGUUUAUUGUGUUAGACGAAGUGAUAAAUGUGCACAAUAGAUUUGAUGCUGAAGAUGAGCUAGGGUGGACGGAAUAUGUUUGGCAAAUUAAACUGAAUGCAUGCUAUCCACCUGGAAUGAAUGAUAGGUCUGAUUUUGUUCCAUGUUUAAAAAAGAGGAAGUUACAUCAAAAUUAAAUGGUCGUGUUUGUUUUAGUAGUAUUUUAAGUUAGUAGUAUUUUACUAUAUUAUUCAGUCUGAGGAAAUCUGAGUUGGAUAAAAGCACUUACUGAUUUAUGAGUCUGUGGAUUAAAAGCAGAUUUUUUUUGAA